rnacentral:rRNA from 1 species
AAAUUGAAGAGUUUGAUCAUGGCUCAGAUUGAACGCUGGCGGCAGGCCUAACACAUGCAAGUCGAGCGGUAGCACAGAGAGCUUGCUCUCGGGUGACGAGCGGCGGACGGGUGAGUAAUGUCUGGGAAACUGCCUGAUGGAGGGGGAUAACUACUGGAAACGGUAGCUAAUACCGCAUAACGUCGCAAGACCAAAGUGGGGGACCUUCGGGCCUCAUGCCAUCAGAUGUGCCCAGAUGGGAUUAGCUAGUAGGUGGGGUAACGGCUCACCUAGGCGACGAUCCCUAGCUGGUCUGAGAGGAUGACCAGCCACACUGGAACUGAGACACGGUCCAGACUCCUACGGGAGGCAGCAGUGGGGAAUAUUGCACAAUGGGCGCAAGCCUGAUGCAGCCAUGCCGCGUGUGUGAAGAAGGCCUUCGGGUUGUAAAGCACUUUCAGCGGGGAGGAAGGCGUUAAGGUUAAUAACCUUGGCGAUUGACGUUACCCGCAGAAGAAGCACCGGCUAACUCCGUGCCAGCAGCCGCGGUAAUACGGAGGGUGCAAGCGUUAAUCGGAAUUACUGGGCGUAAAGCGCACGCAGGCGGUCUGUCAAGUCGGAUGUGAAAUCCCCGGGCUCAACCUGGGAACUGCAUUCGAAACUGGCAGGCUAGAGUCUUGUAGAGGGGGGUAGAAUUCCAGGUGUAGCGGUGAAAUGCGUAGAGAUCUGGAGGAAUACCGGUGGCGAAGGCGGCCCCCUGGACAAAGACUGACGCUCAGGUGCGAAAGCGUGGGGAGCAAACAGGAUUAGAUACCCUGGUAGUCCACGCCGUAAACGAUGUCGAUUUGGAGGUUGUGCCCUUGAGGCGUGGCUUCCGGAGCUAACGCGUUAAAUCGACCGCCUGGGGAGUACGGCCGCAAGGUUAAAACUCAAAUGAAUUGACGGGGGCCCGCACAAGCGGUGGAGCAUGUGGUUUAAUUCGAUGCAANNNNNNNNUUGGUGCCUUCGGGAACUGUGAGACAGGUGCUGCAUGGCUGUCGUCAGCUCGUGUUGUGAAAUGUUGGGUUAAGUCCCGCAACGAGCGCAACCCUUAUCCUUUGUUGCCAGCGGUCCGGCCGGGAACUCAAAGGAGACUGCCAGUGAUAAACUGGAGGAAGGUGGGGAUGACGUCAAGUCAUCAUGGCCCUUACGACCAGGGCUACACACGUGCUACAAUGGCAUAUACAAAGAGAAGCGACCUCGCGAGAGCAAGCGGACCUCAUAAAGUAUGUCGUAGUCCGGAUUGGAGUCUGCAACUCGACUCCAUGAAGUCGGAAUCGCUAGUAAUCGUAGAUCAGAAUGCUACGGUGAAUACGUUCCCGGGCCUUGUACACACCGCCCGUCACACCAUGGGAGUGGGUUGCAAAAGAAGUAGGUAGCUUAACCUUCGGGAGGGCGCUUACCACUUUGUGAUUCAUGACUGGGGUGAAGUCGUAACAAGGUAACCGUAGGGGAACCUGCGGUUGGAUCACCUCCUUACCUUAAAGAA